rnacentral:rRNA from 1 species
GCUUGUCUCAAAGAUUAAGCCAUGCAUGUCUAAGUAUAAACAAAUCUAUACUGUGAAACUGCGAAUGGCUCAUUAUAUCAGUUAUAGUUUAUUUGAUGGUUCUUACUACUUGGAUAACCGUAGUAAUUCUAGAGCUAAUACAUGCAUCAACCCCCGACUUUUGAAGGGGUGUAUUUAUUAGAUCCAACCAGCCCGGCUUCGGUCGUGUCCCUGGUGAGUCAUAAUAACUGAGCGAAUCGCAUGGCCUUGCGCCGGCGAUGGUUCAUUCAAGUUUCUGCCCUAUCAGCUUUCGAUGGUAGGGUAUUGGCCUACCAUGGCGUUAACGGGUAACGGAGAAUUAGGGUUCGAUUCCGGAGAGGGAGCCUGAGAAACGGCUACCACAUCCAAGGAAGGCAGCAGG